CUGCAGCCUCACCCAGCUCCCAGAGCACAGAGGAAGAUGAAGGCAGCUGCGCUCAGCCUCGUGAUGCUCCUCGCUGCCCUGUGCUGCACAGUGGAAGCUCAGCCAUCUGUGCAAUUGCCGGACUCGGAAGUUCUUGUGAAACCACCACCUGACGUCCUUGAAAUUCCUGGUCCUGUAAGUUGAGGGAUGAG